UUUAUCUUGGUGUACAGCACAUAAAAUUUUGAUUUUUAAAGAAAUAUUAUUUAGGUAAAU
rnacentral:tRNA from 1 species